UAAUUACUCCCUCCGUCCGGAAAUACUUGUCAUCCAAAUGAAUAAAAAAGAAUGUAUCUAGACGUAUUUUAGUUCUAGAUACAUCCCUUUUUGUCCAUUUUGAUGACAAGUAUUUUCGGACGGCGGGAAUACUAU
rfam:Triticum aestivum genome assembly, contig: Triticum_aestivum_CS42_TGACv1_scaffold_223046_3B